UACAGAGGGUGCAAGCGUUGUUCGGAAUUAUUGGGCGUAAAGGGCGUGUAGGCGGUCUGCUAAGUCAUGUGUGAAAUCCCCAGGCUCAACCUGGGAACUGCGUCCGAUACUGGCAGGCUUGAAUCCGGGAGAGGGAUGUGGAAUUCCAGGUGUAGCGGUGAAAUGCGUAGAUAUCUGGAGGAACACCGGUGGCGAAGGCGGCAUCCUGGACCGGUAUUGACGCUGAGGCGCGAAAGCUAGGGGAGCAAACGGG
rnacentral:rRNA from 1 species